GAGGUCGGGGAUUGCAAGGAGAGCCAACGCAUGGGCACGCGCACGGCAAUUUAAUGCCACGCCCACGCCAGCGUAUAGCUCUCCUCGCAAUCCCCCAGCUC
rnacentral:pre_miRNA from 1 species